rnacentral:rRNA from 1 species
UGACGGUACUUGACUAAGAAGCCCCGGCUAACUACGUGCCAGCAGCCGCGGUAAUACGUAGGGGGCAAGCGUUAUCCGGAUUUACUGGGUGUAAAGGGAGCGUAGACGGCAAAGCAAGUCUGAAGUGAAAUCCCGGGGCUCAACCCUGGAACUGCUUUGGAAACUGUUUAGCUAGAGUGCAGGAGAGGUAAGUGGAAUUCCUAGUGUAGCGGUGAAAUGCGUAGAUAUUAGGAGGAACACCAGUGGCGAAGGCGGCUUACUGGACUGUAACUGACGUUGAGGCUCGAAAGCGUGGGGAGCAAACAGGAUUAGAUACCCUG